AUUGAACGCUGGCGGCAGGCCUAACACAUGCAAGUCGAACGAGUGGCGGACGGGUGAGUAAUGUCUGGGAAACUGCCUGAUGGCUGGGGAUAACUACUGGAAACGGUAGCUAAUACCGCAUACCAUCAGAUGUGCCCAGAGGGGAUUAGCUAGUAGGUGGGGUAACGGCUCACCUAGGCGACGAUCCCUAGCUGGUCUGAGAGGAUGACCAGCCACACUGGAACUGAGACACGGUCCAGACUCCUACGGGAGGCAGCAGUGGGGAAUAUUGCACAAUGGGCGCAAGCCUGAUGCAGCCAUGCCGCGGGUAUGAAGAAGGCCUUCGGGUUGUAAAGUACGUUCAGCGGGGAGGCGUUACCCGCAGAAGAAGCACCGGCUAACUCCGUGCCAGCAGCCGCGGUAAUAC
rnacentral:rRNA from 1 species